rnacentral:rRNA from 1 species
UACGAAGGGUGCUAGCGUUGUUCGGAAUCACUGGGCGUAAAGCGCGCGUAGGCGGCUAUGCAAGUCAGAGGUGAAAUGCCGGGGCUUAACCCCGGAACUGCCUUUGAAACUGCAUAGCUAGAGACUCGGAGGGGAUAGGGGAAUUUCUAAUGUAGCGGUGAAAUGCGUAGAUAUUAGAAGGAACACCGGUGGCGAAGGCGCCUAUCUGGACGAGUACUGACGCUGAGGCGCGAAAGCGUGGGGAUCAAACAGG